rnacentral:lncRNA from 1 species
GAUAUUGUUCCCAGUGUCCUCAGCGUUCUGUCAGUUUCAUCGACAUGCCCGGGCAUGUCCCCUGGAUUCAUGCACUGUCCACAUUCCUGUCAUACAUUCCUCUUGACAUAAUCAGCAAAUAGAUGAGGUAAAUGGGUCAAUUGCAUGCACAGUAAUAAUUCAAUAUUAAACUGAUGGCAGUAGGCAGAUUAUGCAAUAGUCAUGUAAACACUUUACUUAAAUUGGCCAAAGUAAGCAUUCGCGAUUUAAAAAAUAUGGAUUUCUGAGCAUUCUGUCCAAUUAUUAGGACAUGUACACACCUUAAAAGGGCAGUCAGCAGUUGCUACAUCCAUUUUUGGACUUAUAAACAUUGGAUGCCAACUGCCGAUAAACCCCACAGAAGAGGCGAGGCGACAACUAGCUAUAGCUAGUACACACCGGUAGAGUGUCCUUAGCACCCGCCUGUCAGAGGACCUGAGCCCUAGGACCAUGCCUCAGGACUACCUGGCAUGAUGACUCCUUGCUGUCCCCAGUCCACCUGGCCGUGCUGCUGCUCCAGUUUCAACUGUUCUGCCUGCGGCUAUGGAACCCUGACCUGUUCACCGGACGUGCUUGUUGCACCCUCGACAACUACUAUGAUUAUUAUUAUUUGACCAUGCUGGUCAUUUAUGAACAUUUUAACAUCUUGACCAUGUUCUGUUAUAAUAUCCACCCGGCACAGCCAGAAGAGGACUGGCCACCCCUCAUAGCCUGGUUCCUCUCUAGGUUUCUUCCUAGGUUUUUGGCCUUUCUAGGGAGUUUUUCCUAGGGAGUUUUUCCUAGCCACCGUGCUUCUUUCACAUGCAUUGCUUGCUGUUUGGGGUUUUAGGCUGGGUUUCUGUACAGCACUUUGAGAUAUCAGCUGAUGUACGAAGGGCUAUAUAAAUACAUUUGAUUUGAUUUGAUUUGAAGAAAACAUUCCCCACACCAGUACAUCACCUCCACCAGCCCGUACCAGGCAAGAUGGGUCCAUGGACUUAAAUCCUGACUCUGCCAUCAGCAUGACGCUACAGGAACCGGGAUUUGUUUUCUACUCUUCAAUUGUCCAGUGUUGGUGAUCGCUUCUUCUUGUUUUUAGCUGAUAGGAGUGGAUCCAUGUGUGGUCGUCUGCUGUAAUAGCCAGUUUGUGGCAAGGAUCGAUGAGUUGUGCAUUCCGAGAUGCCGUUCUGCACACCAUUAUUGUACUGCACCGUUAUUUGUCUGUUUGUGGCCCGCCUGUUAGCUUGUACGAUUCUUGCCAUUCUCAUUCAAACUCUCUCAUCAACAAGCUGUUUUCACCCACAGUACUGCCGCCGACUGGAUGUUUUUGGUUUGUCGCACCAUUCUUGGUAAACCCUAGACACUGUUGUGUGUGUGAAAAGCCCAGGAGAUACUGGAUUCGGCGUGCCUGGCACAGGCGAUCAUACCACACUCAAAGUCGCUUAGAUCACUUGUUUUUCCCAUUCUAACGUUCAAUCGAACAGAAACUGAAUGCCUUGAUGCCUGUCUGUCUGCUUUAUAUAACAAGCCAUGGCCGCAUGACUCACUGUCUGUAGGAGCGAUCCAUUUUCGUGAACAGGGUGGUGUACCUAAUAAACGUAGUUACAGUCUUGUCUCAUCACUGCGACUCCCGUAUGGACUCGGGAGAGGCGAAGGUUGAGAGCCAUGCGUCCUCCGAAACACAACCCAAC